GGGGCUGACUGGUUUUGACAGCGGGUAGAAAUGGUAGGUAAGCAUGCAGUGCGUUGUUGACUUGCACUUUAAUCUCAGUUUUCAAAAUUUUAUCUGGCGAAACAAAUUACGCUCUUGCAGCAUAAUCGAAGUUAUAGUAGAUAAUGCCUAAUUCCAGUACAAGGUAUUGGAUCAAGACAUCACUCGAACACCGUCUCUUCGAGGUCGUUCGACUCAGUGGUGCAGUCAAAUCGAAGAUAGUUUAAGAUGGCCUUGCAUUUUAGGCGAAACUUUUAGAGGAUAAGGUAUUACAGGAUGGCUUUGGUUCCAGUAGUGCUCGAAAAUUUAGACAAAGCUAAGCAUGUAGAAAGCUUAUGGUUUCCUCGUUUGGACGAGAGUUCGAAUCUCUCCAGCU
rnacentral:tmRNA from 1 species